AAGCUCGAGCACCAGUUCCUCUGAGUCCCCUUCGAGCACUACAAGAAGACGAUCCGUGCCAACCACCGCAUCACCGAGAAGGAGAUGUCCGCCGUCAUCAACGACGCCGUCAGUCACCUCAAUUCCCUCGUCUCCAGGCUCCAAGGCCUCAAACGAAAGGAAGAGGGGAGCAAGCCUGAGCACUUACAGGUGCAGAGGUGCCGGGCGAGGCUGGACCAUUUAGAAUGAGCAGAUGUGGAGAAUUUGUCAGAAUGGAACAAUGUGAGGUUGAACAGGAUCCUUGUGGACUAUAUGUUGAGGAUGUCUUAUUAUGAUACUGCGGUGAGGUGAAGAUGGCCGAAAGCCAAAAUAUUCAGGAACUGCAGUUUGGAGCCACUGCCUCAAAAGUUUUAUGAGUCAUAUUUGAAGAGGUGCCUUAGUUUACAGUUCAACUCUCACUGAAAGAGUGUUCAUUCUGGUUGAAGGCUGUAGAAUGUGUACGAAAUGCUUCUGAUGGUACCUUGAUGCAUUCUUUGACGGGUCACAAUGAAUCUGUAAGUAGUCAGUGGUGUUUUUGCAGUUUCCUUUAUUCUACUUUGAAUUUCUUCAUAAGUUGUGUUCUUGAAUGCUUUAGUUGCAAUAUGUGCCUGUGGUUCUGUGUUCUGACAAUGUUGCAAGUAAUUUUAAAAGAUUACUUAUUGUACUUGUACACUCUUGUUAAUGCUUUCAUCAGAUUGACUCUCAUUCCUCUUGUUUAUUACUUUUAUUGGCUUAAUAUUAAUUAACUUUUGUUGAACUGUAGGUACCAAUUCACUUCUCAUUUGCUUUGAAGGGUUGCACUUGCAGGCGGACUUAAAAAGCUGGACUUCAAAAGUUGGACAGAACUAAAGACUAAAGAGGAUCACUACAAAGCGGAAAGUGCUAGUACUCUAUGACGUAUGAUUUAAUUUCAGAUGUUUAGUAUACUCGGUACCAUUAAAUGUAUCUGAUUGUCUAAUUUAUUAUUAUCAGUAGUGUGUAUUACCAUGUAUAUAUUGUGGAUACAAGACUGAUGACCAGGAAGAAAAAAGGGGGAAAAAAAAGUAAAACAAAAGCUCCAGUUUGGUGCCAAUUAAAAAUGGCACCAAUUUUUUUUUUUUAAAUUUGGGGGAUGUUUCCCACUGAUGUAAGAGUUGCCAAUUAAAGAUAUAAUGGUGUAAAAGAUGAUGUGGCACCUGACAAAAGUAAUAUGAGAGAGUGAUGUGACACACAUGUCAGUUUGGUUAAAAAUAGCCCACCGAUAAUGUAUUGGUGCCCUAUGUUCCAAAGGAAACUGGGGCAAAGAGCACUGUCAAGGUUUGGGUGGCUGCAUAGUGGCUAAUGAAGAUUUUGGUGGCUUUUGUGAGUAAUGAGCACCCUUAUUGGAGGGUGUCCUUUGGCCAAUUUUCUAG